AUUGAACGCUGGCGGCAGGCCUAACACAUGCAAGUCGAACGGUAACAGGAAGAAGCUUGCUUCUGUGCUGACGAGUGGCGGACGGGUGAGUAAUGUCUGGGAAACUGCCUGAUGGAGGGGGAUAACUACUGGAAACGGUAGCUAAUACCGCAUAACGUCGCAAGACCAAGAGGUGGACCUUCGGGCCUCUUGCCAUCAGAUGUGCCCAGAUGGGAUUAGCUAGUAGGUGGGGUAACGGCUCACCUAGGCGACGAUCCCUAGCUGGUCUGAGAGGAUGACCAGCCACACUGGAACUGAGACACGGUCCAGACUCCUACGGGAGGCAGCAGUGGGGAAUAUUGCACAAUGGGCGCAAGCCUGAUGCAGCCAUGCCGCGUGUAUGAAGAAGGCCUUCGGGUUGUAAAGUACUUUCAGCGGGGAGGAAGGGAGUAAAGUUAAUACCUUUGCUCAUUGACGUUACCCGCAGAAGAAGCACCGGCUAACUCCGUGCCAGCAGCCGCCGUAA
rnacentral:rRNA from 1 species